ACUGUGCCGCAGUUAUACCAAGAAAUGUUUACACAGAUGAUGAUAAGCAUAUGUAGAGAUGCAGCAUUUUCACAGACCAGAAUAACCAGCUCCAGGCUGCAGUUCUCUACACAAAGAUAAAGUUUUUUGGGCAAACUCCUGACUGCGGCGACCUGAGCCCAGAGGAGCAGCUAGGGGCGGUGGGCAGAGCCGGGUGUGGACAAGCGGGUGGGUCCUGCACCUGGGUGGGGGAAGCGGCAGGCUGCAGGAUCCAGUUGAGGUUGUGCUAGUCCUGGCCUCCAGACCUCAGGCGGCCCACUCUGCCCUCGGCCUGUUUCCUCUCUUGUAAAGUGGGGAGUAAGAGACCAUCACAAGCCAGGGAUGGGGUGGCACAAACUGUGAUCUCGCCACUCUGGAGGCUGGGUCAGGGAGUGGAGGGGUCACUGGUGUCUCAGAGCUAGAGCUGUGGUGUGCGAGGCCCGCACCUGUAAACGGCCACUGCACUCCGGCCUGGGCAACACUGAGACCCUGGCUCUGAAAAACAACAAAACUUAAAAGAUGAACACAGAUGAAGUAUGGGAGCCUGGUAUGUGGUAAGCACUCCACAGGUGUCAGCCGCCAGCCUGCAGUCCAGGACAGGUCAGGGGGAGGCCCGCUGUCUGUGACAGGCUGCCAGCUUCCAUCACUGCCUGGUGGAAAGCAAGCCUGUCUUUGGGGCCAACCAGCUAACACGUGAGCCCUUCACCCCAUCUGAAGGCGAAGCACCCAAAGGGGCAACCACGGACAACUAAAUAAAAACCAAGACUCCUGGGACGCCUUCUCAGGACACAUUCUUAGUAAAGAGAUACGUGGAUGAGGACGUUGUGUGUAUUUCUGUGUAACAGGGCCACCCCAAACCUCAGAGGCCGAAAACCUGUCUUCACUGCUCACGACCCUGUGGGCCUGCAGCUUGAGCCAGUUCAACUGGCACAGCUUGCCUCGGCUCCAUGGGGUGUCUGCUGGACCCACUUAUGGGCAGGGGCCCCCCGGCAGGUCCGGGCCACGUGUCACCCACCCACCGCAGGCUGGUCGGGCCUGCCUCCCAUGGUGGCUGGGCUCCAUCGGCAGCAAGAGAAAGCAAAUCCCCAUGGUGCUUCCCUCCAUCUCCCCAGGAGAAGCAGAGCAGCAGAGAGCAGAUGGCGGCCAAGGCCGGGACCCUCUGCUGCUCCCACGGGCCUCUCAGGCGGCUCUGCAGGACCAGCCAGCAGCCUCUGAUUCUCCCUUCCUAUUCCACGGCCUCAGAUGCCAUCCUUUCCACAGAGACAGUUUCUGUCGUGACACUCUCCCUGACUUGGAGGAAUGGCACUCGGAACAUUCCUCUUGGUGCUGAUGUCAGGGACGAAAGCAGUUUCCAGUCGCCUGGGGCCAGGACACAGCAUUCCCAGCUGUUGUGGAGCAUGAAGCACCAGGAUGCCCAUUUGGGUGGCUGUUGAGAUCAGGAUCUUUGAGAAGGAAUCCUGUGGUCGCCUGAGGAGGCCCAAAGAAAUUUCGAGGACAUCUCAGCCAUCCAUCCCCUGUUCACUGUGGAGGUCGAACACCAAGGUUCCUGGAGGGGGCCCUGGGUCUCUGCAGAAGUGCUGGCAGCCAUCUACUUCCCCGCCUUCCAUGCCCGCCCCACCUCUGUUCUGUUGUUUACCGUCUCCUUUGUAGGAAUUAUGGAAUAAACGAUCAUUUUGGUGUCCUGGAAAAUAAACCUGAUGCUGGAGGGCUUGAGUGUAGGAAUCCCGCUGGGCUCCCUCUGUCUGCCCCAGGAGUUAGGCUUUGCAGAAGCAUGUGAGACAUCAACCGCUAUGAAAUGUGGUCUACACAGCACCAAAAAAAUCCAUUUCACCACGUUUUCCCUUCAGUGCAGUUAAAUGGCAUGACCUUGUGACUCCCCCCACGAGAAGAAUUAAAAGUUACACUGGCCCUGCCAAAGCCUACAGGACACAGUGGCACAAAAUGAUUUCCGUGAUCUUAGGAUAUAGACCCAGGCCGACUCGACAGAUUAAGUGGAUUUCAAACUGUGAUCUCAAGCCUUCUGGGAACUGCCAGAAAGGAGGGGAAGGUGCCGAGUGGCCCAGCUGCCCAGCCUGUUCACACACUGGGCUUUCCAAAAGGAGGGGAAGGUGCCAGCCUCAGAGUGGCCCAGCUGCCCAGCCUCUUCACACACUGGGCUUUCAGUUGAAGAGAGUGUUCAAAGCUUACGCAUGUAAAUACCACUGAUCUGUGAACCCCCUUCCUGUCAUGCCCAGGGACUGGCAGACUGUGGCUAGAAGGGUGGGACCAGAGGGGUGGGUCACGUGACCUGCACACGGGUGUGCUGGCCUCCUGGGCCUUGGUGGCCAGGACAGCCUCCCUUUCCCUUUCCAGCUACACAGGGCAAUCCGUGGAUAUCUGUCUGCCCAAUUACAGAGCGUGCUGCCAACCUGCUGUGCUGAGACUGGCCUGGUCUUGGUCCUGGUGUCCUAGGGCUGAUGACUGACCACAGCCUUUGUGCUUUUGAAGCCCAUUUGACUAUAGUCCUUGUGUACAACUAAAAAUGUAGCUUUAAA